GCUAACUCCUGGCCAGCGGCCCCGGUAAUACGGAGGGGGCAAGCGUUAAUCGGAAGUACUGGGCGUAAAGCGCACGCAGGCGGUUGGAUAAGUCAGAUGUGAAAGCCCCGGGCUCAACCUGGGAACUGCAUUUGAAACUGUUCGACUAGAGUCUUGUAGAGGGGGGUAGAAUUCCAGGUGUAGCGGUGAAAUGCGUAGAGAUCUGGAGGAAUACCGGUGGCGAAGGCGGCCCCCUGGACAAAGACUGACGCUCAGGUGCGAAAGCGUGGGGAGCAAACAGGAUUAGAUACCCUAGUAGUC
rnacentral:rRNA from 1 species